rnacentral:rRNA from 1 species
UACGUAGGGUGCAAGCGUUAAUCGGAAUUACUGGGCGUGAAGCGUGCGUAGGCGGCUUUGCAAGACAGAUGUGAAAUCCCCGGGCUCAACCUGGGAACUGCAUUUGUGACUGCAUGGCCAGAGUACGGUAGAGGGGGAUGGAAUUCCGCGUGUAGCAGUGAAAUGCGUAGAUAUGCGGAGGAACACCGAUGGCGAAGGCAAUCCUCUGGACCUGUACUGACGCUCAUGCACGAAAGCGUGGGGAGCAAACAGG